GAUCUCAAAUCAGGCAAGACUACCCGCUGAACUUAAGCAUAUCAGUAAGCGGAGGAAAAGAAACUAACAAGGAUUCCCUCAGUAACGGCGAGUGAAGUGGGAAGAGCUCAACUUUAAAAUCUGGGAGGAAUUUCCUCUCCGAAUUGUAGUUUAUAGAGGCGUUAUCUGAUCUAAUCAUUGUGCACAAGUCCUUUGGAAUAAGGCGUCACAGAGGGUGAGAACCCCGUUUGGGCACGAUCGGUUAGAUCUUCAUGAGGCGCUCUCUGAGAGUCGAGUUGUUUGGGAAUGCAGCUCAAAAUGGGUGGUAAAUUUCAUCUAAGGCUAAAUAUUGGCAAGAGACCGAUAGCGAACAAGUACCGUGAGGGAAAGAUGAAAAGAACUUUGAAAAGAGAGUAAAAUAGUGCGUGAAAUUGUUAAAAGGGAAACGA
rnacentral:rRNA from 1 species